rfam:Ipomoea nil DNA, scaffold: scaffold3056, cultivar: Tokyo-kokei standard.
GUCGUUGUAGUAUAGUGGUGAGUAUCCCCGCCUGUCACGCGGAGACCCGGGUUCGAUCCCCGGCAACGGCG